GGGUUGUGAGGUUAAGCGACUAAGCGUACACGGUGGAUGCCCUGGCAGUCAGAGGCGAUGAAGGACGUGCUAAUCUGCGAUAAGCGCCGGUAAGGUGAUAUGAACCGUUAUAACCGGCGAUUUCCGAAUGGGGAAACCCAGUGUGAUUCGUCACACUAUCAUUAACUGAA
rnacentral:rRNA from 2 species